UCUUAUAUUCAUUCCUACAUCAUAGCAUUAAUACAUCGGAUCCCAUUAGAACUCUGCAUUCAAGCAUGCUCGGAAUAGAGUAGUACUAAGAUGGAUGACCACUUGGGAAGUCCUAGUGUUUUACGUG
rfam:Picea glauca, whole genome shotgun sequence.